rnacentral:rRNA from 1 species
GGUUAAGUGACUAAGCGUACACGGUGGAUGCCUUGGCAGUCAGAGGCGAUGAAAGACGUAGUAACUUGCGAUAAGCCCAGAUUAGGUAGUAACAACCAUUUGAGUCUGGGAUUUCUGAAUGGGGAAACCCACGUGCAUAAGCACGUAUCCUUACCUGAAUACAUAGGGUAAGGAGGCGAACCGGGGGAACUGAAACAUCUAAGUACCCCGAGGAAAAGAAAUCAACCGAGAUUCCGAAAGUAGCGGCGAGCGAAAUUGGACUAGCCCUUAAGCUUUACACGCGUUAGACGAACGGUCUGGAAAGUCCGACGAUACAGGGUGAUAGUCCCGUAGUUGACGACNNGUGUUCAGUGAAAUCGAGUAGGGCGGGACACGUGAUAUCCUGUCUGAAUAUGGGGGGACCAUCCUCCAAGGCUAAAUACUACUGACUGACCGAUAGUGAACCAGUACCGUGAGGGAAAGGCGAAAAGAACCCCUGUGAGGGGAGUGAAAUAGAACCUGAAACCGUGUACGUACAAGCAGUAGGAGCAGGCUUUGUCCUGUGACUGCGUACCUUUUGUAUAAUGGGUCAGCGACUUAUAUUCAGUGGCAAGGUUAACCAUCUAGGGGAGCCGUAGGGAAACCGAGUCUUAACUGGGCGUUCAGUCUCUGGAUAUAGACCCGAAACCAGGUGAUCUAGCCAUGGGCAGGUUGAAGGUUGAGUAACAUCAACUGGAGGACCGAACCGACUAAUGUUGAAAAAUUAGCGGAUGACUUGUGGCUAGGGGUGAAAGGCCAAUCAAACCUGGAGAUAGCUGGUUCUCCCCGAAAGCUAUUUAGGUAGCGCCUCGGACGAAUACUACUGGGGGUAGAGCACUGUUAAGGCUAGGGGGUCAUCCCGACUUACCAACCCUUUGCAAACUCCGAAUACCAGUAAGUACUAUCCGGGAGACACACGGCGGGUGCUAACGUCCGUCGUGGAGAGGGAAACAACCCAGACCGCCAGCUAAGGUCCCAAAUUACUACUAAGUGGGAAACGAUGUGGGAAGGCUCAGACAGCCAGGAUGUUGGCUUAGAAGCAGCCAUCAUUUAAAGAAAGCGUAAUAGCUCACUGGUCGAGUCGGCCUGCGCGGAAGAUGUAACGGGGCUAAGUAGUAAACCGAAGCUGCGGCAAUAUACUUUUGAGUAUUGGGUAGGGGAGCGUUCUGUAAGCGGUUGAAGGUGUGUGGUAACGCAUGCUGGACGUAUCAGAAGUGCGAAUGCUGACAUGAGUAACGAUAAAGGGGGUGAAAAACCUCCUCGCCGGAAGACCAAGGGUUCCUGUCCAACGUUAAUCGGGGCAGGGUAAGUCGACCCCUAAGGCGAGGCCGAAAGGCGUAGUCGAUGGGAAACGGGUUAAUAUUCCCGUACUUCUUACAAUUGCGAUGGGGGGACGGAGAAGGCUAGGUGGGCCUGGCGACGGUUGUCCAGGUUCAAGUGCGUAGGCUUAAGAGUUAGGUAAAUCCGGCUCUUUCUAAGGCUGAGACACGACGUCGAGCACCUACGGGUGUGAAGUCAUUGAUGCCAUGCUUCCAGGAAAAGCCUCUAAGCUUCAGAUUGUAAGGAAUCGUACCCCAAACCGACACAGGUGGUCGGGUAGAGAAUACCAAGGCGCUUGAGAGAACUCGGGUGAAGGAACUAGGCAAAAUGGUACCGUAACUUCGGGAGAAGGUACGCUCUUGAUGGUGAAGUCCCUUGCGGAUGGAGCUGACGAGAGUCGCAGAUACCAGGUGGCUGCAACUGUUUAUUAAAAACACAGCACUGUGCAAAAUCGUAAGAUGACGUAUACGGUGUGACGCCUGCCCGGUGCCGGAAGGUUAAUUGAUGGGGUUAGACUUCGGUCGAAGCUCUUGAUCGAAGCCCCGGUAAACGGCGGCCGUAACUAUAACGGUCCUAAGGUAGCGAAAUUCCUUGUCGGGUAAGUUCCGACCUGCACGAAUGGCGUAAUGAUGGCCACGCUGUCUCCACCCGAGACUCAGUGAAAUUGAAAUCGCUGUGAAGAUGCAGUGUACCCGCGGCUAGACGGAAAGACCCCGUGAACCUUUACUACAGCUUGGCACUGAACAUUGACCCUACAUGUGUAGGAUAGGUGGGAGGCUUUGAAGCACGUACGCCAGUAUGUGUGGAGCCGUCCUUGAAAUACCACCCUUGUAGUGUUGAUGUUCUAACGUCGACCCCUAAUCGGGGUUGCGGACAGUGCCUGGUGGGUAGUUUGACUGGGGCGGUCUCCUCCCAAAGAGUAACGGAGGAGCACGAAGGUGGGCUAAUCACGGUUGGACAUCGUGAGGUUAGUGCAAUGGCAUAAGCCCGCUUGACUGCGAGAAUGACAAUUCGAGCAGGUGCGAAAGCAGGUCAUAGUGAUCCGGUGGUUCUGAAUGGAAGGGCCAUCGCUCAACGGAUAAAAGGUACUCCGGGGAUAACAGGCUGAUACCGCCCAAGAGUUCAUAUCGACGGCGGUGUUUGGCACCUCGAUGUCGGCUCAUCACAUCCUGGGGCUGAAGUCGGUCCCAAGGGUAUGGCUGUUCGCCAUUUAAAGUGGUACGCGAGCUGGGUUUAGAACGUCGUGAGACAGUUCGGUCCCUAUCUGCCGUGGGCGUUGGAAGAUUGAAGGGGGCUGCUCCUAGUACGAGAGGACCGGAGUGGACGAACCUCUGGUGUUCGGGUUGUGUCGCCAGACGCAUUGCCCGGUAGCUAAGUUCGGAAUCGAUAACCGCUGAAAGCAUCUAAGCGGGAAGCGAGCCCUGAGAUGAGUCUUCCCUGAUACUUUAAGUAUCCUAAAGGGUUGUCGGAGACUACGACGUUGAUAGGUCAGGUGUGUAAGUGCUGUGAGGCAUUGAGCUAACUGAUACUAAUUGCCCGUGAGGCUUAACCAU